UGAGGAAUAUUGCCCAAUGGAGGAAACUCUGAGGCAGCGACGCCGCGUGGGUGAUGAAGGCCUUCGGGUCGUAAAGCCCUUUUCUGCGUGACGAGACAAGGACGGUAGCGCAGGAAAAAGUCUCGGCUAACUACGUGCCAGCAGCCGCGGUAAAACGUAGGAGGCAAGCGUUAUCCGGAGUUACUGGGCGUAAAGCGUGCGUAGGCGGAUGGGUAAGUGGGUGGUGAAAGCGCUCGGCUAAACCGGGCGAGUGCCAUUCAGACUGCCUAUCUAGAGGCGGAUAGAGGGGUGCGGAAUUCCGGGUGUAGCGGUGAAAUGUGUAGAGAUCCGGAGGAACACCAGUGGUGCAAACGGCGCCCUGGGUCCGAACUGACGCUGAGGCACGAAAGCGUGGGGAGCGAACGG
rnacentral:rRNA from 1 species